UUCCUACGGGGCGCAGCAGUAGGGAAUAUUGCUCAAUGGGGGAAACCCUGAAGCAGCAACGCCGCGUGGAGGAUGAAGGUUUUCGGAUUGUAAACUCCUUUUGUUAGAGAAGAUAAUGACGGUAUCUAACGAAUAAGCACCGGCUAACUCCGUGCCAGCAGCCGCGGUAAUACGGAGGGUGCAAGCGUUACUCGGAAUCACUGGGCGUAAAGGGCGCGUAGGCGGUAAUAUAAGUCAGAUGUGAAAGGUGGGGGCUCAACCCCUAGAGUGCAACUGAUACUGUAUAACUUGAGUGUGAGAGAGGG
rnacentral:rRNA from 1 species